AUAGUGUUGUGGGUGGUGGCUGUGGGGGUGAGGUUAGUCAGUUCCCUUCUACUUAUUUAGGACUUCUUUUGGGUGGUAAUCCUUAAAGUAUAGAUCAUGGGUAUCAAUAUUAGCACAGAGAUCAUUGAAAAAUUUGCUAGCAUUUAUGGUUGUAAAAAGGGAGAAUGACCAAAUAUGUACUUAGGACUACAUCUAAAAGGGAACGACAAAUCCUUUUCCUUUAGGAAGAUUAUUAUUGAGAAAAUAGAAAGAAGGUUGUCAACAUGGUCAUCACGUUAUACUUCAAAAAGUGGAAGACUCACCCUAAUACUUGUCACAUUAUCCAACCUCCCUACUUACUACAUGUCUUUAUUUGAAAUGCCACAAAAAGUGGCCGCGGAUAUAGAAAGACUAUUCAGAAACUACUUGUGGAAAGAUGGCGCACAUCUUGUUGGUUAGAAUAUUAUAAACCUCCCAAUAGAAAAGGGAGGCCUCGGUCUUCUCUCGAUAAGGAAGAAGAACAAAGCUCUCCCCGACAAAUGGAUAUGGAGAUAUCAUCAUGAAGAAAAGGCCUUAUGGUGAAAUCUUAUAAAGACUAAGUGUACUUCUACAUCAAACAAAAAUCACCCCCUCCAUCUUCUACAAAAGGGCCUUUGAAGUACAUAAAGAAACAUCAAAAUCUCAUCACCAACCGAACUCACCAUAAGGUGGGUAAUGGGGGAAGCACAACAUUUUGGACUGACCCAUGGAUUAAAAACACCAUGCUAACCUUGAAGUAUCCACUUUUGUACAGGCUCUCUCAUAG